GAUGGUUGUUGACUCCACGUGCGCUUAUUGCAUCGUUUCACUUGAGCAAAAUACUCGAAUACUUUGAAAUAAUUCAAGACUCAAGUUUCCCAGACUACUUGUGGAUUUUUGAAACUACAUUCAGCGCUUUAACCAAUGGCGUACACCAAUGAUAUUUCUAAGGCUCUUUUAGACCUUUUAAGAGGGACAAACCAGGUGGCUCCUCAAGGUAACAGAUCUCCAGUUCAAGUUUACCAAGAGGAAAGAGAUGAUUUACAUUUAGAAUGUCAUGAGAAAGAAAGAUCAUUAAGUCCAAGGGAGCUACACAGGUGGAGAAAAAGCCUUUUUUCUGUGUAUGUAGGUAGACUGCCAUCUGACNUAACAUUGAGGGAACUUGUCCAGUUUUUUAGUGAAGUGGGUGUUCCAAAAGAUGUGUUUAUAACUCCACCUGAAGGCAACAGAAGUUACACUUAUGGGUUUUUGCGGUUUGCAACUCUAGCAGAAGCACGUAAAGCUGUUUCUUGUAUGAAUGGACGUAUCCUCGGCAACAGACAUGUUUUGGUGGAAAUUUCGGCCGAAACACGCGAAAAUCUCAACGUCAAAGAAGAAAAAGAGGUUAUCUGUGAUGCUAAUGACAGGCUUCUCAGAAAGGAAUAUCCAAGUGUUCGUCGUCGUUCGGUGCCUGACAACCAAGAGGAUUUCAUCCAGUCGAAACUUCUUCAAUCACUUGCAAAGCUCAAGUCAGACCAGGCCAGUGUUGUAAGUGCGGGCUGUAAAGAUAGUGAAGAGAGUAACGGCCCAUCAUUUCUCGACAAACUAGAAGAAAUCCUAAAGAAGGUUAUGAAAGAAUUCCCAGGUGAGACUACCACCAGACCCACUGCGGACGAGGGACCUGUUUGUACCAUAACAUUAGAAGAUAUGCGGCAAGACUCACUGGAAGCAUCCAAGAACACUCAAAGUUUAGAGUCACCACCUAUGAAUGGUGUUAAUCACUCGCCUAUAAAUAGUGAGCACUCGUUUGUAAAACCAGUGGACACUUCUGUUGCCUUUGUUCCAGGGCCCAUAGGUUUGGAUAAUGGCUUCACUCAAAGUCCAGGGUCACCGCCUAUGAAUGGCAAUAAUCACUCGCCUAUAAAUAGUGAGCACUAUGCGAAACCAGUAGACAAUUCCAUUACCUUUCUCCCAAAAUCCAAGGGCUUGGAUAUGCGACAGGACACGUGGCAAAACUCACUGGAAACACCGAAAAGUACUCGAAGCGUAAGGUCACCGCCUAUGAAUGGCGAGCACUCGUUUGUAAAACCAGUAGACACUUCCGUUGCCUUUGUUCCAGAGUCCAUAGGUUUGGAUAAUGGCUUCCCUGAAUCACAGUCAGAACAAUCUAUGCAUAUCAAAAGUGCUAUCUUUCCGGUUGAAACUUGGAAGGCUGACACCCAUUCCAGUAGCGCAUUGCCUUUAACUAAGUCUACCUUAUCUGGGGAUGAUCUUCGUUUGCAAGAAUUAAAAAUAUCUGAGAGGCAAAACCACGAUACCAAUAGUUCUUCACUUGACCCUUAUGUGUUAUCUAAGAUGAGAGACAUUCCUUGUCAGGAUGUACGGUGUAGAAGUCAGGAGACAAGUCCCAUAGUUCAAAGUAGAAAAUCACCAGUUGCCAAACAGGUAUCUCCUGUAAGCAGAACUGGAGAAGAUUUGAUCAAUGUUAAUGGCAGCCAUCAAGAAGGGUGGUUUAGAAGCGAACCAAGUCCCAUAGUUCACAGUGAAAGAUUACCAAUUGCCAACCAGGUUUCUUGUGUAAGCAGGACUGCAGAAGCGUUGAUUAACAGUGAUGGUAUCAAUGAAGAGAUGAGAAACCAUGAGACAAGUCCCAUAGGUCACAGUGAAAGAUCACCACUUACCAACCAGGUAUCUCGUGAGAGCAGGACUGAAGAACUGUUGAUUAACAGUGAUGGUACCAAUGAAGGGAUUAGAAAUCUUAAGACAAGUCCUAUAGGUCACAGUGAAAGAUCGCCACUUACCAACCAGGUAUCUCGUGAGAGCAGGACUGGAGAAGCGUUGAUUAACAGUGAUGGUACAAAUGAAGAGAUGAGAAACCAUGAGACAAGUCCCAUAGGUCAAAGUGAAAGAUCACCAGUUGCCAACAGGGUUUCUCUUAUGAGCAGGACUUACGCUGCGAUGGAAGCACAACUCAAAGCACACACGCCUUCAAGUUCAAAAGAUAACGACUCACCAAUUAUAAGUAGCUUCAAUUCCCAAAGACAAACAUCCAGUAGCACAGUGAAGGAAAACAUAAAAGCUACUAAUGGUAAUAGUGGCCACGGUCUUUCUUUCCAAGAGCAAAUAUCUCAUAUAGACGAUGGAUCUGGAAGAGAUCCUAAAGAUACACAACACUUAGCUCCAGAUAAUGUUAUGACUUCUACAGAGAUCACCCAGGAUUCCACACGAAGAAGGCAGCAUUCACAUAAUGGAGAAAACACGGAAUUGAAAGGAAGGGAGGUUAGUUUUUCUUCCUUGGAUGAAGAACGAGGGGAUGAUACCAGAAUGCUAGUACAGACACACGAAUCAAAUGGACAUAAGCUCUGCGAAACAGAUUCUUUGAACGAAGAGAAAGAUGAAGACAGGAAAGAUAUGGAAGGAAUUUCUCCACAACGGACACCAGAUCUGGAGCAAUACCAACCAAAAUAUCAACAGGAACAACUGCCAUUGCAACAAGAACACCUUUCAUUUAAGCAACGUUCUGUGCAUGACCUUCAGUUGAAGCUUGGGGAAAUUAUAAAGGAGAACGAACGCCUUCACUCCGCGCUACCAGAACACUAUAAAGACAAGAACACAAGUGGAAUGUACCCGGACAAAGAGAUGUUAAACCUAGAGGAGUCGAUCCACAUUUACGAAGUUGAAUACCAGCGUGAAAUGGAGGUUGCAGUAGCCAGGAAUGCUGAACACGAGUUACUAUACGAGAGAGAAAAACUGUCUGCAGCUUUUGAUACCAACUUACAGAAAGAGCUUGACCUUGAACUUCAAAUGGAGAUGAUGAAGAACGAGAUAAAGUUAGCCAACAUGGCCAACCAGUUACUUACAUUCUACCAGAAGAGAAAUGAUAUGCAAUAAGCCACACCCAGUAUGGACCGGUAGACCCCCCCCCCCAAAAUGCUACGUCACUGUUGCCAUAGCAACUGCCAUUAUUAUAAAGACGUUGAUAUUUACACUGAGUUUUAAUGAAACUCGUUAGCUUCCUAGAUAAUAGACUUUUAGUUUGGGCAUGGAGAUACCUAAUUCAUGAAUGAGUUUCAUUUUUUGGCUUCCAUUUAAAUUUAUAUAACAAUUAAAACUGUUAUUUUCAAGGAAAUGAUACGUGGUCGGAUAUAAAGGGACGGUUCUUUUUUUAAGGGC
rnacentral:misc_RNA from 1 species